rnacentral:rRNA from 1 species
AACGAACGCUGGCGGCAGGCCUAACACAUGCAAGUCGAGCGGAUCCUUCGGGAUUAGCGGCGGACGGGUGAGUAACGCGUGGGAAUAUGCCCUUCUCUACGGAAUAGCCUCGGGAAACUGGGAGUAAUACCGUAUACGCCCUACGGGGGAAAGAUUUAUCGGAGAAGGAUUAGCCCGCGUUGGAUUAGGUAGUUGGUGGGGUAAUGGCCUACCAAGCCUACGAUCCAUAGCUGGUUUGAGAGGAUGAUCAGCCACACUGGGACUGAGACACGGCCCAGACGCCUGCGGGAGGCAGCAGUGGGGAAUCUUAGACAAUGGGGGAAACCCUGAUCUAGCCAUGCCGCGUGAGUGAUGAAGGCCUUAGGGUUGUAAAGCUCUUUCAGCUGGGAAGAUAAUGACGGUACCAGCAGAAGAAGCCCCGGCUAACUCCGUGCCAGCCGCCGCCGUAAAAC